UACAGAGGGUGCAAGCGUUGCUCGGAAUCAUUGGGCGUAAAGGGUAGGUAGGUGGUCUCAUUUGUCUGGGGUGAAAGCCUUGGGCUUAACCCAAGAAGUGCCCCAGAAACGGUGAGACUCGAGUACUGGAGAGGGUCGUGGAAUUCCCGGUGUAGCGGUGAAAUGCGUAGAGAUCGGGAGGAACACCAGAGGCGAAGGCGGCGACCUGGACAGUAACUGACACUCAACUACGAAAGCGUGGGGAGCAAACAGG
rnacentral:rRNA from 1 species